UACGUAGGGUGCGAGCGUUAAUCGGAAUUACUGGGCGUAAAGCGUGCGCAGGCGGUUCGUUGUGUCGGCGGUGAAAGCCCCGGGCUCAACCUGGGAAUGGCCGUUGAAACUGGCGAACUGGAGUGUGGCAGAGGGGGGUGGAAUUCCGCGUGUAGCAGUGAAAUGCGUAGAGAUCUGGAGGAACACCGAUGGCGAAGGCAGCCUUCUGGGCCAACACUGACGCUCAUGCACGAAAGCGUGGGGAGCAAACAGG
rnacentral:rRNA from 1 species